rnacentral:tRNA from 1 species
GAGCCAUUAGCUCAGUUGGCAGAGCACCUGACUUUUAAUCAGGGUGUCGAUGGUUCGAAUCCAUCAUGGCUCACCA